GACGGAGGAUGCAAGUGUUAUCCGGAAUCACUGGGCGUAAAGCGUCUGUAGGUCGUUUAAAAAGUCUACUGUUAAAAAUUGAAGCUUAACUUCAAAGGUGCCGUAGAAACUUUUAAACUUGAGUAUGGUAGGGGUAGAGGGAAUUUCCAGUGGAGCGGUGAAAUGCGUAGAUAUUGGAAAGACCACCAAUGGCGAAGGCACUCUACUGGGCCAUUACUGACACUGGAGAGACGAAAGCUAGGGGAGCAAAUGGG
rnacentral:rRNA from 1 species